UUACUUGUUAAACCGAGCCCAUCCAAAUUUAUUCCAUUUAAAAUCCAUCUAUCCUUUAGCCACCACGAGCUUAUUUCGACAUAUAUUUCCAUAAUUAACCAAAUUCCUCCAUUUACGAAACCGAACGAUACUUCCUCAACGACGAUCGGGCAAAUUAGAUCACUCGACAAUCAACGCCGGGCCGGAUCGUAUCAGGUAAAAGGGGAUUUAUGAAUACAUAAAUUUAGUCAUGUAAAUUAAACUAUGUAACAAAAUUUUCUUAAACUAUGUUGUUACAUAAAUUUGACAUCAACUAAAUAUCUAAAGAAAAUUAAAUUAUAAAAAAAUACUUUACAUGACUAGAUUAUUAUAUGAAAAAUAAUCUUUCAAGUAACAGGGUUUUUUUUUGUUUGAUUUUACUAAACUUGGCAGUAAAACUAGGCUACCUAUGUCUUUUCAAUUUUGAAGGAUCAAGUUAUAAUGUAGUUCGAUUUCUUCUUCUCCUUUUUUUGUGCCCUGUCAUUUGCUUAAAUCAUCAAAAGAAGGAUUUUCAACUUAACAAGCUUUUUUUUUUCUUUUUCUUUUGCACUAACUUUUGCUUAAGUCGUCUAAUGAAGGAUUUUUAGCUUAAUGAGCUUUUUUUUUCUCUAACUUUUGCUUGAGCCAUCCAAUGAAGUAUAUUCAGCUUAAUUAGCUCUUCUUCUUUUCUUUAUGCUCUAACUUUUUCUUGAGCUAUCCAAAGAAGGAUUUUUAGCUUAACAAAAUUUUGUUGCAAUUUAAGCUCAUGGUCAAGAGUGAAGGCAUUCAUGUAUAGUAGCGCUUUAGAAAUUUUUCGUUCAUUAGCCCAACUUUGAUGUCAUCUUGAUCAACAAUCUUAUAUGCACUAUUAUUUUAAACUUCGUGAAUGACAUAUAGUACACAAACUUGUUACCCAUGCGAUGUAAAGUUUUUAUGGGUUUUUUUCACAACAAGAACUAAGUCCUCAAUUGGAAAUGAUCGCAGAUUCACUUUGUUAUUAAAUGCAUCUUCACUUUGUUAUUAAAUUCCUUAAACAAAAGAGCUUGGUAGCAUUACAAACGUUUUUGUGCUUGUAAUCUAUCUCAUCCAUUGCCUCCAAUUCUUCCAAUUGUAGGCUCAUGUUGUCUUCACUGGAAAGUGAUUUUUGGAUUGCAAUUCUCAAAGAUGGGAUUUGUCGCUCAAGUGGCUUCAACACCAUAAACAAGUACAUAUAGAGUGGCUUGAGUUAGUGUGUGAUAUAUAGUUCGAUAUGCCUAAAAAGUUUCUUUCAUCCGUUCAUGCCAAUCUUUCUUAAGUUGAUUCACAAAUUUCUUGAGAAGAUUGCACAAAGUUUGUUUUUUUGGAAGCUUCUGCUAGACCAUUUAUCAGAGCAUGGUACAUCGAAGAGUGGUAUUGCUUGAAGUCAAAUUGUACACACAACUAGCUCAUGUUGAAUUACUUCUCAUUAUCAAUAAUGAUGCAUCAUGGAACACCAUACUGAUGAAUGAUGUUUAUUUUGAUAAAGUUUUCCACAAUUUCUUUCUUCACUUCUCAUUAAGGUGCUGCCUUUGCCCAUUUUGAAAAGUAAUCUAUUAGAGCCAAUAUAUGUGUAUUCUUGUUAGAGUAUCCUCAAAGAUCAAUCAUGAGAUGAUUGUAAUCACAUACUCGUUUUACAUUAUUUAUUAAUAUAAGGCAUUGUCAUUAUUAUUUUAGUUUCUUUGUCUGGGUAUAUAAAUAAAUUGAAUUGAAAUAAAGUCCUAAGAACAUAUGAUUAUUCUUAAAAGGUCAUUAGUCAAGUAUUAUUGUGGGCUUGGACAACAAUAAUGCAUUAAGACUAAUGUGUAGUUGAUUGAUGACAAAGAGUUGUCAUUGACAUAGGAAUAUCAAAAUCAGACAUGAGUAUAUGUUAGAGAACAACAUAUUGGAUUAAAAGACUAAUAUAAAUAUCAAUAUAAAAUUUUCAAAAAAAAAGUGUUGAAUAAGAUAAGUAGGUAGGUAACAACAUAGUUGAGAAUUGAAAUUUUUAGGUGUUAAAUUGAUAGAAAUUAAGCUUAGUUUAAGAAAAAGACUAAAUUGUAAAGCUUAAGUGAUAGCUUUGUACAUUAGGGACUAAAUUUAAAAAGUGUAAAACUUACAUGAAAUUUUAAUAGGAAUAAGAAAUAUGCAGUCCCUAAUGAGUAAUUGUAAAAAAAAAAUUUCAAUCCGAAGCUUUGGAUUAAAAGUUAUGUUUAUCCCGGGUUUAGGGACUAAAUUGAAUAAAUUAUAAAAUAUGUUUGAUUUUUUAUUGAUUUUGAUUUGAAUGGAAUUUGAUACUAUUACAUGUUUUAUGAUUUUAUUUAGCUAAUGUUGAUACGGAACCGUCGAAAGAGAAAAGAAAAUCGAAAGUCGAUGACGAAUAACUCAAAAUUUUAGUUUAUAUUUCUAUGAUAUGAGACCCAUUUAAUUACUGCAUAUUUAUGUUAUUUUACAUCAUAUAUUAUCGAGGUGAUUCGUUAUGGGAUUAUUAAAUUGAAUUGCUACGGUUUAGAUUGAAUAUCAAGAUAGGGACUAAAUUGAAUGGAAUUGAAAGUUAUGAAUUUAUUGAUAAAUGAUAAUUGAUAUGAAAUUGAGUUGAUAUAUGUUGUAUAUAUGAUGAGUUGGUGAAUUUAUGGAUUAUUAGGACAUGAUUAAAUAUGAUUUGAAUAAUGUUUAUUAUGAAUCAAAAAUUUGGUUACCCUAUUAGCUAUUCGGACUAUGUUGAAUAUAAUUGGCACGCCAUAAGGUAAGAUUAUUGAUUGAAAACCAUCAUUGCUAGGAAAUUUGGGAUGGUAGAUUGUAAUUUGUGAGUCAUCAUUGUCUGGCAACCCAGGUUGACAUAUUAAUUAGAUUGAGAAAGCGAUUGUUAUCAAGCAAUUCGAGGUGGUAUUAUGCACAUGUAUGGCGUCAUAUUAAGGGUCGAUCUUGUAAUAACGAGCUAAACGGCUCGAAAAAGAUUGAGAUGUGGUAUUAAUUUUAACAUAUUAUAUACAUGCUAAGAGUGAUAAAAUAAAUAAGUAUGAAUUGAACUAGAGAUGGUAAAUGGAAAGGAACUAAAUGAUAUUUGAAAUUAGUGGGUCGUUGGUAAGCUUAUGUGUAUAUAUAUGCUUAAAUGAAUUGGUUAUAGGCUUGGUUAUAUAUAUUUAUGGUGAUUUGGAAAUAAAAGUGUUAUGACACGGGAUUUGAUUUUGGAUUGAAUUUGAUAUGAAUGUAUGCAUAUGUUUAAUUUAUUUAUAUUGUCUUGAAUCAUAGAAAUACCACUGAGCAUAUUUGCUCAACGUAAGAUUUGUUUUCUCCACGUGUAGGUAUUGUAGAUUCUCGACAAUUUGAACGGUUGAUCCAGCAUCCAGCAAUCGAUCCCUAACUCAACAAA
rnacentral:lncRNA from 1 species